rnacentral:rRNA from 1 species
GACGAACCGUGCGAACGUUGUUCGGAUUUACUGGGCGUAAAGGGCGCGUAGGCGGCCACCGCAAGUCAGUUGUGAAAGCUCUGGGCUUAACCCAGAAAGGUCAACUGAUACUGCGGGGCUAGAGUGCAGAAGGGGCAACUGGAAUUCUCGGUGUAGCGGUGAAAUGCGUAGAUAUCGAGAGGAACACCUGCGGCGAAGGCGGGUUGCUGGGCUGACACUGACGCUGAAGUGCGAAAGCUAGGGGAGCGAACGGG